GACAGUGCAGAGAUAAGUGAUUGUCGGCAGUUGGCAACGACAACACCGCAACGGCAAGAUAGGUCUGCGUUUGUUUGCUUGUAUUACUUUAGCCAACUGUUGGCUAAUAUAUGUAUAUAUAUAUAUAUAUAUAUAUAUAUAUAUAUAUAUAUAUGUCUACAGAUGGCUAUAGUAAUACAAGCAAACAAACGCAGACAUAUAUUGCCGUUGCGGUGUUGUCGUUGCCAACUGCGGACAAUCACAUAUCUCUGCACAGUC
rnacentral:miRNA from 1 species